ACAAAAGCAGAAACAUACUAAGCGCUACACUUCCAACAACUAAACAAGUUCAAGUCCAGCAGUCAUUUGAAAGAGUAAGAACAUUUCAGCGAGACAACACAAAGGCGAAAUCCACUAAUGCCAAGAUAAUGGAAUUCAUUGCCCUUGACAGUCAACCGUCCUCUGUCGUGGAUGAUGUUGGCUUUUGCCGACUGGUCAAUCCCCGGCAUAAAUUAUUUUUCAAAUGUUGCCCUACCGGAGUUACACAGUAUUGUUGAAAUGUACAUCUAUGAGCUACUUGCUAUGGGCGUAACUGUUAUUAGACUCACGACUGACAUUUGGACCAGCGAUGUCAACCCCAUGAGCAUGUUGAGUUUGACAGCACAGUGGGUCCACAAGGAUCUCGUACUGAGGAAAGACGUAUUGCUCAAUAAUGUGCUGGUUCUCAUACCACUGCUGCCAUUUCAGUGCCAUUUGAGAACAUGUUUGAAACUUGGACACAUGAACACACUCCUAGCGCCAUUCGAACAACUGACUUCAGAAAUAAGCUAAACAACUGCAGCAGACGUGACACCCUCUGUCAUGGCACUGAAACACCUGCUCAACAAAACUGCCGACAGACCGUGGGGUUAAAACUUACAAAAGUACUUGAGGCUGUGAACAAGCGAUUUGGUAGCAUUCUCUCUACGCCUCUUUACUGUGUUGCCACCAUGCUAGAUGCUAGGUACAAGGACCGCUACUUUGAUGCAGACAAGAAACAGGGUUUACGUGAAAUGUUACAUACACAGCUGUGAGCACCGAGGAAGAGAAGCCACGGACAGACAGAGCUUAAACCUUCCCUGCUUGACAUGUCUAAUGAAAUCCUGGUUGAGACUGAAAUGACUGAACAAAUGAACAACGAAACAGCAAGAUCAGAGAGGAAGGUAAAUAGCAGCUGCUGCUAGCUGAACACAGGCCUGAAACAGGAGAGGAAUCCAGUACUCUCGUGUCCUGGGUUCAACCUGCCACACUACCACACUGGCUCUGCAUCCCACUAUGCCACAUUUUGAGAACUGAGUUAACCCCAUGGAAGAAUUGAAGAGAACGACAGAGAGAGAGGGAGGGUGUGUGCCAGUAUAAACUGGGAGACUGUCUGCUACUUUGAUGUUCCUCCCUCAGUAAACAGACUGGUAAAUGACUUCCCUCCGUGGCCCUGCCCUGCUGUAAAAUGCUGAGGCCUGUUCCAAGGCAGCUGGAUCUCUUACAAGCAGCCAAGGUCAACACACACACACCAGGCAGGUUUCCACAACACACACGCGUGUGUACCAGCCUUGGUGAAUGACCCGCUGUCCCUCUGUUAGUGCUGACCAUUGGUGCCAACCCACAGCAAGGAAACUGGGUCGAGCUCUGACAGGCUAAACACACACACAUUCACACUUGUCUUGCACGCGUGAGGUGCAGACAUUCAUCAUGUUUUGUGUGUAGUGGGUGAUGUCCAUCCAAUGAAGUUGUCAUGGAGAGAUGAUGUGUUUAUUUCAAAAUUAUACCAUUUAUUUAUUUCAUCUUUUAUGGCUUUUAUGGAGCACACACUCAGAACCCUAAUGCCAUCUGUGUGUUGUCGCACAUGAGGCCAAGGUGAGAUGGAUACUGGAUACUCUCAUGGUUUCUCACUCUGUCUCCAAGCAGACAGUCCAGAGACUGUGACGGCCAAGGGGUUUCAAAACAGGACACACAAAGGGAAGCUGAUUCCAGCUGAUUAACCCUGCAUUCAAGGAUUCUCAGUUACACAGAGACUGAACCAAGGCUUAACUUCCUCACUUCUCAGACUGUUUUAAAAGCACACACCAUCCUGUCUACUGGACCAGUCGACCAGAACUUUAAUGCUGGAGAGCCCUAGACAUAAGUUGCCUGUAGAUGCAGAUCUAGGAUCAGCUUACCUUCCCUGACUUAGACCCUCUCAACACUGUGCCUUCUGUCUGAAACAUUUCGGAAACAAUAUUACAUGGUGACGAUGUCAUGAGAUGGUUAGGAUGGUUGUGAUCACGGGCUGGCUCAUACCAGAUUCUGUCACUCUCACUCUUGAUGUGUGACCAGCUGGCCGGUGUGUUUACGGACAUAUUCAAUCAAUCCCUAUACCAGUCUGCUGUUCCCACAUGCUUCAAGAGGGCCACCAUUGUUCC